AUUCUGGCUCAGGAUGAACGCUAGCUACAGGCUUAACACAUGCAAGUCGAGGGGCAGCAUGUGGUUGCUGCAACCAAUGAUGGCGACCGGCGCACGGGUGAGUAACGCGUAUCCAACCUUCCCCUUAGUAGAGGAUAGCCCGGCGAAAGUCGGAUUAAUACUCUAUGUUCUUCAAUGCGGGCAUCUAAGUUGAAGCAAAGAUUUAUCGCUAAGGGAUGGGGAUGCGUCUGAUUAGGUUGCAGGCGGGGUAACGGCCCACCUGGCCUACGAUCAGUAGGGGUUCUGAGAGGAAGGUCCCCCACACUGGUACUGAGACACGGACCAGACUCCUACGGGAGGCAGCAGUGAGGAAUAUUGGUCAAUGGGCGCGAGCCUGAACCAGCCAAGUAGCGUGCAAGGACGACUGCCCUAUGGGUUGUAAACUGCUUUUAUCAGGGAAUAAAGUGAGGCACGCGUGCCUUUUUGUAUGUACCUGAUGAAUAAGGACCGGCUAAUUCCGUGCCAGCCGCAGC
rnacentral:rRNA from 1 species